AGCGAACGCUGGCGGCAGGCCUAACACAUGCAAGUCGAACGGAUCCUUCGGGAUUAGUGGCGGACGGGUGAGUAACACGUGGGAACGUGCCCUUUGGUUCGGAACAACUCAGGGAAACUUGAGCUAAUACCGGAUGUGCCCUUCGGGGGAAAGAUUUAUCGCCAUUGGAGCGGCCCGCGUCUGAUUAGCUAGUUGGUGAGGUAACGGCCCACCAAGGCGACGAUCAGUAGCUGGUCUGAGAGGAUGAUCAGCCACACUGGGACUGAGACACGGCCCAGACUCCUACGGGAGGCAGCAGUGGGGAAUCUUGCGCAAUGGGCGAAAGCCUGACGCAGCCAUGCCGCGUGAAUGAUGAAGGUCUUAGGAUUAUAAAAUUCUUUCAGCGGGGACGAUAAUGACGGUACCCGCAGAAGAAGCUCCGGCUAACUUCGUG
rnacentral:rRNA from 1 species